UACAAACUUAUAGUAAUAUAUAAAAAAAAAAAAAAAAAAAAUUCCUGUGGCAGAGAAUUAGUUAGUUACUUAAAACAAAACUUAAUAAAAAUACCAAUUCAACUUAAUUAAUCUAAUUAUCUCCACCCAAAGAUCUAAUUAUUUCCCUCAACAACCAAUUGAACGACAUUCAAUAACAUCAAAUCUUUCAAGAAAUCAAACCCAAUUCUUGAAGUUCUUCUUCAAUUCUCCAUUUUCUAUCUCUAGCUUUCGAUCUGACCCCUGCCCCUCUCUCUUUCUUCCCAUAGACAGAUCAUCAAUGGCGAAGAUCUACACGACGGAAAGUUCGCGGUUAUGGUGGUGGUUGAACCACCAAUUUCGAACGAAUUUAGGGCGAGGUGGGUAUUUCGAUGAGGGUUGGUGGUCGGUAGGUGGGUGAUUUUAAAGGGUGCGAGCUAAGGGUAAGUGGUUUGGGUUAGUGUGGGGCGUUACGAGGUGGCUGUGUGGUGGUUGUGGGUUACAUUUUAGGUUUUGGGUAGUAUGGUUGGAGGGAGCCCACUUAAUCUCUGAGAUUAACAUUCCAAGAUAAUCUCCUCUCACAGCUUUAUGCAUAUUUUUCUGUGCCACUUUACUUUUCCACUUUUAUUAUUUAGAAAAUAAAAGUAAAACAAUAUAUUAUGAGUGGAGAUAUAUUUCCAAGUUUAUCUUAGAGAUAAACUUGAAUUUUCCCGUAUGGUUGCAGCGUUGUGGGUAGAUGGUGUCGGGGUUGUGUGGUGUGCGAUGGCUACGGGGUUGGUUUUAAGUUUUGAGUGUGGUGGCUAGUGGGUGUGUGGUGGUUGGGCGGUGUCCGUGAGGCUGGUGUAGGUGGUGCUGCUAAGUGGUGGUGCGUCAAGGUGGUUGUUGGUGUGGCUGGAAGGACUUCGUGUCGACGCUAAAGUUGCAAAAAAUGUGAAACGGAGGUAAUAAAUUUUCCUUUGUACUUUUAUUACUUCUUCUAUAUACCUCAACUCUAUUUCCUUCCUCACAUACAAAAUAUACAAUGAUACAAGAUGACAAGUUUUUCUCUCAACUCAACUUCAUAUUUACCGAUUUACUUGUUCCUAUGUACUUUUUCACUCGAAAAAUUUACUAUGUACGAAGUAUAUAGUUACGAAAUAUGGUACCAAGUUAUAAAAAAGUAAACACUACGAAGAUAUUGAUGAGUCCAUUUUAUAUAUAUUUUUUAUUCCCCGUCCCACGGUCAUAUUUGUGCUUAUUUGAGCUCUGCGGAUCUAUUUAUAUUACUAAUAUACGUUUUUUUAGUGUUUUUGUAGAGUUGAUAUUAUUUUGUAGGUAUUUGCAGGAUUUAUGAUAAUUCUCGAGCUUAUUGAGCCACUACGAAGAUAUUGAAGUUUGAUCGUAUUUUAUGACCGUAUAUUUGAAGCCCAAGAUCAAGCUGAUUAAAUUAGGUUCGGUGACUUAGGGCUCGACUAGUAAAGGAGUCCCAAGGUUUAAAAGCUAGUAUAUGGAGUAUGGACCAACCGAUAAAGCAAAAGAAGGAUUAAAGAGCUCAAGUCCAAGAAAGAAGCCCAAAUAAUAUCACAACAGGUCUACUGGCAUUAAAAAGGCGGGCCUAAUCGGGCGGCCCAAUUCCCGAUCGGGCGAGAGUUAAUUUGUGGGCUCGGCUAAGAGUUGUAGGCUAUUAAUACUCAUUGUUUUAUCAUAUUUUGGGGAGUCAGGCGAUUAUACUUGGUAGUACCCAAGAAUUAGUUUUAGGGAGUUGACUUUAGUAAUAGUUUUUAUGGAGCUAUUCUUUAGAUUCCUUAGUUUUAGUCUUUUCUUUUUAGUUUUAAUUAAGCUUUUGUCUGAUUUACGUUUUUCAGUUUUGAGUUUUGAUACUUAUGCUUUUCUAUUAUUAUCACACUUUUAUUAUGCUUUUUGUC